CAUUCAAACUCAUUCACAUUAAUCUAACAUGCAUGUCUUUGGACUGUGGGUGGAAGCCCAGAGCAUGCAAAUCCACACAAAAGGUCCCCGGCCAGCUUACAGCCUUAGCUAAAUGCCUGAGAUUACCAUAUUAUGGAUAUCCACAGCAACAGUAAUGUAUGCCACAGAUACAAAAAUCAUAAAAGCUCGCCUUUAACUUUCCACAAAACUGUUCUCAUCCGUCUCAGCUGUAUUUCCCACCACAUUAACAGUGUUAAAGAGUAAAAAAGCUGAAACUGAGCAGCCUGAAGUCUGACAUUUUGGCUCAUGAAUAAUGACCUCUGACAAUUCCUCUUUAAUACUUGAUAUCCACUGACCAGCAUGAUCAUGAAAAUACACUUUAGGUUGCAUGAUGUUCACAAGCUUCCAAUGUAUAUAUUGUAGAGUAAAUCAUGGAGAGGUUUAUUUGUUUUUCUGUAACGUAACUUGCAUUUUAAUCAUGAGUUAAUGUAAUGUAUCCCCAGGGCCUGUUGGCUUCCAAAGCAACAACAUUGGCUUCAGAGCCGGCAUGUUCACGUCUAUCGAGCCUGGAUAUUAUAAGGAGAAUGACUUUGGGAUCCGGAUCGAAGAUGUCGCAGUGGUCGUACCAGUUCAGACAAAGUAUGGAAAUAACUACCUGACCUUUGACACUGUAUCACUGGUUCCAUAUGACAGAAAGCUGAUUGACAUGUCACUGCUCAGCUCAGAGCAG